CCUGCAGAUGGCUGGGAGAAGCCGGAUUAGUCUGCAGUUGGACUAAACCAACACCACUAGCAAGAUAAGCAUCUUGCUGGCCCUGCCCAGCCACCUUUCAUGUUAUAGAGGCUUCCCCGCCUCCCCUGUCUCCCCCCCACCAGUGUUUCAUCAUGGAGCCACCAACGGCAGCACAUAAAUAGAGGGCCUGGGAGGGCUGUGGGGUGAAGACCGGAGACACCACUCAGGGUCCCGCAGCUCAGGGUCCUGCACCGUGCCCCAGCGCCUAUCCUGCCUGGCCAGCCACCCUGCAGAAGCAUGGCUUUAGCCAGCACCUUUCGCCUGUCACUCGCCUGCCUACUGCUCUGCGGUGCAGCCCCGAAACCAAUGUGUGAGCCCAGCGCCUGCACCCCAUGCCCAGAGAGGGACCUGGAGGGGCCGACCACUGGCACUGCCGGGGGCUGCUGCCCCCCCUGUCCCCCACCCUGCGCCUGCCCCCCCUAUCUGGAGAGCGACUGUGAGAUGCAAGGCUUUGCCAGCGGCCACGUCCCCUCCGGCCGCUCCUUCUACAUCGACUUUGCCCGCAAGCUGUGCACCUGCCGCCCCAGUGGGGACAUCACUUGCACCCCGCUGUGCCCCCGCCUGCCCCCCACCUGCCAGGCUGUGGGCAGCCCCGUGGCAGACGGCUGCCCCCGUUGCGUGUGCUACGACGAGGAGGAGAUGGCGGUGCCCGCUGGCACAGUCACCUCCCGGGAUGGCCAGAUUUGCACAUGCCCCCCCCAGGGUGGCCAGCUGCAGUGCCGCGGUGGCGAGAGCAAGGAGUGAACCUGCCCUGUCUGCCAGCCGAGGGCAGGAGGACAGGGGAGCCUCUCUGUCAGCAGAAGGCUUUCUGUACCUUGGGGCAUCUGCACUGAAAAGUGUUAAAUGCUUCAAACCUUCCUAGAGGACUUGGCAAUGGAUAUGGCUGUGUCACAGAGUGCUAGAGAGAUGCCACAUUGUACGUCAUUUAUAUGCCAGGGCAAAGUGUCUAUAGCAGGUGAGCUUUGUUGUAAGGUUUGUUCCACGGCGGUGGGCUAUGAGAGGUUAGAUUGCUGCUAGCAUAUAACUGAAACAAUGCAGUUAUUUAUUUAUUUGUAAGAUGAUUGGGCUUUUGUAUGUGUUUAUGUUUAUAUAGUCUGUUCCUAUAACUCACUGGAUAAACUUCCUCCCAGGAGCCAAGUUUUUGCUUCCUGUAAUUCCAUCAAAUUCAAACUGGCAGGACCAAAGUCAGAAGAUUGGCUGGCAUCCCCCUCUCCAGGUUUUUUUUUGAGAUGGGGGGAGUAGGCAGGUUAGCACAUGGUUGUGUUCUUAAGAGGAUGCAAACCCCUCUCGUGCCUCCAUCCUCUGGAGCAAAGCCUUGAAGAGCCUUGUAAAGGGUGUUGGCAGUCAAGUGUCGAUCCUUGACAGCCACCUUGAUGAAGCAAUUGCCCAGGGCUGACCCCCUGCCCCUGCUGUGUCCUGUUUCAGCAGGAACACCCCAAAUUUUGUGUCAGUGAUUGUGUCCUCCUCACUCGUGCUCUCCCUUUACCACUGCUGGAGACAGACAUAGGAUAUGGCAAAACUGCAUCUUCUGAAUGCUUUGAAAUGUGUAUAUAUAUAUGUAGGGAGACUGUAAUAAAAAACACAGCUUCAUCACAUUAACAAGUGUUAAUUUUGUUCCUUCAAGGGGUUGAAUGAAAUAAAUUUUGCCAAUAAACUUUUGAAAACUUUA